rnacentral:tRNA from 15 species
CUAACCUUAGCUCAGAUGGUAGAGCGGAGGACUGUAGAUCAUUUGGUCGCUGGUUUGAAUCUGGUAAGUCGGA